GGUGACCCAAACCUUGUUCCGUCCUCAGGCUCUGACACUGGACCAGAUGGAAAGCCUCAACGUCCCAAAUACCCCAGCUGCCUUGGCCCUAUGGCUAUCCUGGCUACCCUUUUGGUGACCCAAACCUUGUUCCGUCCUCAGGCUCUGACACUGGACCAGAUGGAAAGCCUCAACGUCCCAAAUACCCCCAGCUGCCUUGGCCCUAUGGCUAUCCUGGAUACC